rnacentral:rRNA from 1 species
UUCCAGCUCCAAUAGCGUAUAUUAAAAUUGUUGCAGUUAAAACGCUCGUAGUUGAAUUUCAAGGAAUCGAUAUUUUAUUGUAACUAUUUUAGGGGUUUUAUUUUUGCUACUUGCUUAAAUUCUUCCCCUAUUAUUAUGUUCUUUAAAUAACAAAGAUUCUUUUUAAAACCCCUUUUUGCUUUUUGCUUUUUGGGGUUUUGUUACUUUGAGUAAAUUAGAGUGUUCAAAGCAAACAGUUAAAGCAUUUACUGUGUUUGAAUACUAUAGCAUGGAAUAACAAAAUUGAACAAGCUGAAAUUUUGUUCUUUUUUCUUAUUUUGGCUUAGUUACGAUUAAUAGGAGUAGCUUGGGGACAUUCGUAUUCAGAUGUC